GGACUCACCAACGCUGAGCCCAGGUGUAGGGACAUCUCUAUGCCCCCGUCCAGCAGGAAGAAGUCACAGAAGAGGAGACCUUCCGCCCUCAAAACUGUAAAGAUUUAUUGGGUCAAAACUGUUCACG